rnacentral:rRNA from 1 species
UACGUAGGGUGCAAGCGUUGUCCGGAAUUAUUGGGCGUAAAGAGCUCGUAGGCGGUUUGUCGCGUCUGCUGUGAAAACUCGGGGCUCAACCCCGAGCUUGCAGUGGGUACGGGCAGACUAGAGUGCGGUAGGGGAGACUGGAAUUCCUGGUGUAGCGGUGAAAUGCGCAGAUAUCAGGAGGAACACCGGUGGCGAAGGCGGGUCUCUGGGCCGUAACUGACGCUGAGGAGCGAAAGCGUGGGGAGCGAACAGG